UACGGAGGGUGCAAGCAUUAAUCGGAAUUAUUGGGCGUAAAGGGCGCGUAGGCGGAAUUACAAGUCAGAUGUGAAAUACUGAAGCUCAACUUCAGUGCUGCAUUUGAGACUGUAAAUCUUGAGGGAUGGCGGAGAAAAUGGAAUUCCACGUGUAGCGGUGAAAUGCGUAGAUAUGUGGAAGAACACCGGUGGCGAAAGCGGUUUUCUAGCUUUUUCCUGACGCUGAGGCGCGAGAGCAAGGGGAGCAAACAGG
rnacentral:rRNA from 1 species